AGCCGUGUGAUGAACACAUAGCGAACUAUUCUUUCGCCUUUUACUAAAGAAUACUGUGUGUGCGUCACUCAAAGCGGCAUAUGCUAAUUUUUCAAAGAGCUCUCUUUGUUGAGGGCU